rnacentral:rRNA from 1 species
CACGGGGGGAGCAAGCGUUGUUCGGAAUCACUGGGCGUAAAGGGCGUGUAGGCGGUCAAGUAAGUGGAAUGUGAAAUCCCCCGGCUUACCCGGGGACCGGCAUCCCAUACUGCUUGGCUUGAGUACGGGAGAGGAUGUGGGAAUUCCUGGUGUAGCGGUGAAAUGCGCAGAUAUCAGGAGGAACACCGGUGGCGAAGGCGGGGUCUCUGGGCCGAUACUGACGCUGAGGAGCGAAAGCGUGGGGAGCGAACAGG